AUCAAACUGACGAGUCCCAAAUAGAACGAAACACUCGUCCUGGAU
rnacentral:hammerhead_ribozyme from 1 species